rfam:Secondary endosymbiont of Heteropsylla cubana chromosome, complete genome.
CGUUCAUGUUCUAGCAACACUGCCUUGUCAACUCGGUCAGGUCUGGAAGGAAGCAGCCGUAACGAGAUAUGUGUGUGAGAGAUACUUGGAGACAC